rnacentral:lncRNA from 10 species
AAAAAGAUGAAAGACAAGUUUUGGCAAGGAUGUUUAGGGAGCAAUUGUGCACUGUUGCUAAGAAUGUAAAUUAGUACAGCCAUUAUGAAAAACAGUAUAGAGAUUCAUUAAAAAAAAUCUUAAAAUAGAACAACAAUCCCACUUCUGGAAAUGUAUCCAAAGUAAUUGAAAUCAAUAUGUGAAAGGGAUAUUUGCACUCUCAUGUUUAUUGCAACAUUAUUCAUAAUAGCUAAGAUACACAAUCAACCUAAGUGUCUAUCAACAGAUGAAUGGAUAAAGAAAAUGUGAUAUAUAUACCAAAUACAAUACUAUUCAGCCUUAGAAAAAGAACAAAAUUCUGUCAUUUGGGGCAACAUGGAUGAAUUUAGAGGACACUAUGCUAAGUGGAAUAAGCCAGACACAGAAAGACAGAUACUGCAUGAUCUCACUUUUAUGUGGAAUCUUAAAAAUGUCGAAUUUAUAAAAGUAUAGAGUAGAAUGAUGCUUACCAGAGGCUAGGGAGUGGGAGAGUGUGAGGAAGUGGGGAGUUGCUGCUUAAAGUGUACAUUGUUUCAGCUAGACAGGAGUAAUACAUUUUGAGAUACAUUGCACAGCAGGGUGACUAUAUUCAAUAAUAACAUACUGUAUAUUUCAAAAUAACUAAGAGUAAAUUUCAAAUGUAUCACCAAAAAACGUCAAACAAAUUAGGUGGUAGAUAUGUUAUCUAGUUUAUUUUUGUUACUCCACACUGUAUACAUAUAUCAAAACAUCACGUUGUACUUAAUAAAGGUAGUACAAUUACGAUUUUUCCAUUUAAAAUAGUAUUAAUAAAAAAGAAACAAGAGUAUGUUGCUCAGAAGAGUAAAGGAUCAGUAGCAUUUCCUAGAAACUGAGUGGAAAGAACCACAAUCCUUAUUUUUAAGAAAGUGUUGAAGUACAGUUAUGAGGAAAUUUGGAAAUUAAUUAUUGCUUAGCUAAACUUGUUUAUAUUGUAUGAAAUACCUCAAAGCCAUCUGUUAGCUUUAAAAAUAACUACUCAUGUGUCUUUGAAUAUAUGAUACAAAUCUAUACAUUUUUAACUUUUUUCUUUGUAAUGCACACAAGGCCCAAAAGAAACAAAAUGUAUGUUUUUCCCAGACACAGACAGCCCUAGGGUUUAUAUGGGUGCAGAUUCAUUUGGUUACAUAAAGAAGGAACUGAGAGAGAGGUACAGUGUUGAAAAGGGAACAGAAGAAAAAGGAAAUACAUACAAAUACAUGUCUAUCACUUCUUUAGAAACUCUUUUUAGUAGAAAUUUUUUUUUUCCUACACACAACCAUGAAGAUGAAGUAAAAGGCUAACACUUCUUUACAUCUUGAAAGAAGGACUAAAGGCCACAUUGAGGUGAGGAAUUGGCUAAUUUUGAAAUAAACUUGUGGCAGACACUGGAGCCACAGUCUGGAAUAAGGUAUUGGUAAAAGUGGAACCUGCAAUUCUCUGGGUGUGCGAACACCUCAACCAACCUCAGAAUGUUAGCUUACAUGAUUUCAAUACCAUUUAUAGAAUGAUCUCCCAAUGUGUUCGUUUCCAAAACCGGCAUUCAUUUUUCCUGCUAACUGCAUGACAUUUUGACUUAAAUGUCUAAUAGGAAUCUCUGAUUAUACAUUAUAUGCCUUCCCCAACCCUCCACCCCAAGUGUCCCCCCUGCAAGCUCCCCAGAUUUUAAAAUAUCACCUUUAACCCAGGCGCUCAAGGCCAAACCCCGGAACAUAGGUUAUUUUCCCCAUCUCACGUUCCUCAUUUCCCAUCCCUGGGCAAUUCUUGUUGACUUGUCCAAAAUCCACCUGGAACUUGUCUACCUCCCUUCAUUUCCUCAGCCACCAUCACAUUUCAAGACAUGCUAGCCUCUCAUCUGCACCAACUACAAUGUCUCUGCCUGGUCUCCACCUUCAACCCUCCCCGACACCCCUACAUUCUUCAAAGUAGCCAGAGUUCUACUUUAUAUUCAAUACUAUAAACUUGACUCCCAACUUUGACCUUAUAUUUUUCAGCUCUUCUAUUGAGGUAAUUUGUUUUUCUUUGGUACCACGUCACUUUAAUGGAAGAAAUGAUUCAAUCAAAGAGAAAAAAAAAACAAAAAUAAAUAAGUAGAGGUUUUGUAAGGGCAAUAUGUAUGCCCAGCCCUGGCGACCACAGAAAUGCAUCUCCUGGCAAUGGGGAAGCCAGCUUAAGUCUCGGUUUCCAUUAUCACUAUUACUCAGGGUAAGCUUGCCAAAGAGACGCUCUGCCAUGUCAUCUUCCAAAUACCCCAUCUUGCUACCCAGAAUCAAGAAAUGUUAGCAUUUGCAUAUUUAAAAAAGAAAACUUUUCAUGUAAAAUUAAAAACCUCAUUAUUUUAAUCCCUGCCCAAUCCCAUUCCCCUGACUUUUUCCCCAGAGACAACCACUAGGAUGAAUUCUAGACCAUAUUUUACACUUUACCAUGCACAUGCACCCACAGACACAAGGGCCUAAGACCACUCAGCCCACCCUCCCUACCCCAUAUAUCCACAUAGCUUAGAAAGAAAAGAUUAAUGUGUUUUACAGGGACUCAUAGAAUACCCUCCACCUCCAUCCUUAGAGACCCCGAGCUGCAUGCAGAUGGAGCAGCCCUGGGUGGAAAGACUGCUGGACACCCUUUUUAAACUUGCAUGGGGAUUUGCCCUAGUUAGUAAAAGGUGAGAGUUUUGCAGGCACGCCUCAACUGGACACCUUCAUCGCUUUGAGAACCAGAUAACUUUAUUGCCAACAAUGGUAAAACUGAAAGGAAAAAACUGAAGAGAAGGUUCUGAAAGGGUAACAUGCACGCCCCGCCAGGUGGCCCGACCCAGGGAAGGCACCUCGUGGCUGUGGGGCCCGUCUGGGCUCAGGUCUCUUCGUCGCUGUGGCUCAGGGAGAGUUUGUUAAACAGG